UGCAAGUCGAACCGUAGUAGAGUGCUUGCACUCUAUGAGAGUGGCGAACGGGUGAGUAACACGUGGAUGAUCUACCCUUGAGUUGGGGAUAGCCCAUGGAACUCGGGCUAAUACCGCAUACGUCCUAUGGGAGAAAGGGGGCCUUCGCGGCGCUGCUCGAGGAUGAGUCUGCGGCUGAUUAGUUAGUUGGUGGGGUAAUGGCCUACCAAGGCAGCGAUCAGUAGCCGGCCUGAGAGGGUGAACGGCCACACUGGGACUGAGAUACGGCCCAGACUCCUACGGGAGGCAGCAGCUAAGAAUCUUCUGCAAUGGACGAAAGUCUGACAGAGCGACGCCGCGUGGGUGAAGAAGGCCGGAAGGUUGUAAAGCCCUUUUCUAUCUGAGGAAUAACCAUGGGAGGCAAUGCCCGUGGGAUGACGGUAAGGUAGGAAUAAGCCCCGGCCAAUUACGUGCCAGCAGCCGCGGUAACACGUAUGGGGCGAGCGUUGUUCGGAAUCAUUGGGCGUAAAGGGCGCGCAGGCGGACAUACAAGCUUGGUGUGAAAGACCGCAGCUCAACUGCGGGAACGCGCUGGGAACUGUAUGACUAGAGUUCAAGAGGGGAAGCUGGAAUUCCUGGUGUAGGGGUGAAAUCUGUAGAUAUCAGGAAGAACAUCAGUGGCGAAGGCGAGCUUCUGGCUAUGAACUGACGCGGAGGCGCGAAAGCGUGGGGAGCGAACAGGAUUAGAUACCCUGGUAGUCCACGCUGUAAACGAUGUGCACUAGGUGUUGGGUCGAUGAAGACCCAGUGCCGUAGCUAACGCGUUAAGUGCACCGCCUGGGGAGUAUGCUCGCAAGGGUGAAACUCAAAGGAAUUGACGGGGGCCCGCACAAGCGGUGGAGCAUGUGGUUUAAUUCGACGAUACGCGAGAAACCUUACCAGGGCUUGACAUAUACGGUAAGUCGUGAGAGAUCACGGUGCCCUUCGGGGAUCGUAUACAGGUGCUGAAUGGCUGUCGUCAGCUCGUGCCGUGAGGUGUUGGGUUAAGUCCCGCAACGAGCGCAACCCUUGCCAUCUGUUGCCAGCAUUUCGGAUGGGGACUCAGAUGGAACUGCCGGUGACAAACCGGAGGAAGGUGGGGACGACGUCAAGUCAUCAUGGCCCUUAUGUCCUGGGCUACACACGUGCUACAAUGGCCAGUACAGAGCGACGCGAAACCGCGAGGUGGAGCAAAUCGCAGAAGCUGGUCUCAGUUCGGAUUGGAGUCUGAAACACGACUCCAUGAAGGUGGAAUCGCUAGUAAUCGCGCAUCAGCAUGGCGCGGUGAAUACGUUCCCGGGCCUUGUACACACCGCCCGUCACACCACCCGAGUUGGGGGUACCCGAAGUCACUAGUCUAACCUGCAAAGGAGGACGGUGCCGAAGGUAUGCCUGGUAAGGGGGGUGAAGUCGUAACAAGGUA
rnacentral:rRNA from 1 species